AAGGACGAUAAACAAAAUAUUGAAGGAA
rnacentral:sRNA from 1 species